UACUGAUAAACUGACGCACUGCUCAGGACAUGAGAUUUUCUGGCCAGUUCUCUAAGUAACAAAGAAAUAACUAAAUAAAGAUGACUCUAAGUAAUACUCCACGAACAAAAGCGGAGCUCACCAAUAGCACUGGAAGAGAAGGAAGUCCUAACUCGUAGCCUGCUCGCCUGCAAAUCCGAUUCCUACGUUGUACCGCAGACCAACGUAGGUUCCCAAAAGAGAACGUCAGUACCAUCAAUUGUACUCAGUGAGUCUCAACAACAGGGGGCGAAACUUUAAUAACAUAUACAUUAUGAGCAAAGGUUCUAAAUGCAUGUAAAACAUAAAGCUUAUAAGAAUAAUUCUAAAUAAUUGCAUAAUAGCAGUUUUUGAAUAUUCUAAAAGAAAUUCUUUUCUUUUUCUUUCUUAACAAAAAAUAUACUUCACUUUAUACUUUGGGAGUUCCAACUAUCCUGACUUAAUUCUGUCUCAGUCACCGUGUGAUCGGCACGGGUUCGAUCCCAACCUGAUCGAAUAGGCCCAAUCCACGAGGUGCCACUCGCUUCAUGGUUCUCAGCGCUCAUGUCUCAUACCUUAGCAUGGCUAAGUAAAUUCUCAGCAACGAGACCCUCGGCUCGUGUGCUCCCCACUUUGGCACAAGUAGUUUCAGAAAGUCAACUCCUUGGUCAGGACCCUAGGCCUGGACGAUGACCCCUUCUCAGAAUAAAGGAUACUCCCAAAAAUUUUUUCUUUCUAAAACUUCUUCUUGUGACUUUUCAAGUCUAAAUCUUUUAUACAUACUCAUACUGGUAUCCUUAAAUGUAAGGCAUGUCAUAAGAAUGAAAUAAACAUUCAAAAGUAUUUACAAAGGUUCUUGAUCCUUCAUGAAUUUUCAACAUGAAGGUGGCGUAUCAGAAUAACAUAAAAAUCUAAAAUUUAUGCACAUAUAUCCAAAUAAUCAUCUAAACUUUAGCUAGAUAAUAAUUAUAAGCUAAUAGGCACUUACUACUCCAAUUAAGUAUAUAUUAACUCUUUUAUGCAAUUCAUCAAACACCUUCUGUGCGUGCUUUUGUGAGUUAAACCACUUUAGUAAAGGGUUAUAUCAACUCACCUCAAUACUCCUCGAGCCAAUACGUAGACCCCAGUCCAAUUUAUACUCGUCAAACAAUUGAUUCUACAACAACCAGUGCAUUUUAAUUAAUUUCAAAGUUUCACACCUAAACAUGGUAUUUACUAUUGAUACAGAGAAAGAAUUGAAUUAACUAUUCAAUUCUUACCUAUUACUACUGUAGGGUAAUUGAGAAUAGAGAAUUUUAUAUACCUGAGUUCAAGAGUAAGUGAGUUAUGAAGAACCCUAGAAUUUUCCAUUGCCUGCGUGAGUAUCUCGCUGAAACGGCUUCUGUUUCUUGAACAGAAAGUCGACUCCUAUCUUUCAAUGGCAUUUACGCCUUUGUCUGCC
rnacentral:lncRNA from 1 species